UUGAACUGAAGAGUUUGAUCCUGGCUCAGAUUGAACGCUGGCGGCAUGCCUUACACAUGCAAGUCGAACGGCAGCACGGGUGCUUGCACCUGGUGGCGAGUGGCGAACGGGUGAGUAAUACAUCGGAACAUGUCCUGUAG
rnacentral:rRNA from 1 species